CCAGGGCUGGAGCAGUGUGCAGGUUGUGUGUGCCAGAGACCAGCGGCAGAUGGGCCACAUCUACAACAAUCCCCACCACAUCAAGCAAACAGGACGCAAAACUGAAUCCAAGUCAACUUGCUACAUAGCUCACAACAUGGACAGAAUAACGUUCAUUGUCUUAGGGUCUGUGGGGUCAUCAGAGUCCAGGCAGGUUUCAUAUGUACUCUUCUUGGCUCCACCCUGUGGAAGCCGGGCCUUGGAGCGGAGAGGUCGGGGAGAGGUUACUAGCACUUUCACCUGCCUCGAAGUCUGCUUCCACCCAGAGGAUGCCCACAGACACAAUAGCUACGAGUCCCAGGAUGAGCAGAGUGCCCCUCCUUUGUUGCAGGAGUAACAUCUUCUUCCUGCUCUGCUACUUGCUUGCAGUGGGAGGCGUGGAUCCAGGUGUCUUUUCCUAAGCACUUUACCGCUGUUGGGGUGGUGAGGGCGAUCUGAUGUGGUCCGUUCCACCUGUGUUUUAAGGGUUCUUUACCUCUGUUGUGCCUCCUGACCAUUACCCAAUCUCCAGACUGGAGAUCGUGAUGGGGACGGUCAUCUGGGGGAGUCUGGGCAUCAGAGACCUGUGAGUGAACAGCUCGGAUACAGUUAGUCAGAGAGCUAUACAGUACUUCAUCAUAGUGUCUUCCAACAGAUGCAGAUCUGGGAGAGCACAUGGAGGGGAUGCUGGGGUUCUCAUAGGCCUUGCCAAAUCAAUUUGCAUAUUUUACUAAUGGGCCCCAGGGGACUGGUAGUCAAGACAAGGAAGUGGGUACUCGUCCUCCUGCAUUGUGUUCUUGGCAAAUCGGUGCAGGUAGUACAUUUUCUGCAUACACUGACCAUUCACUUUUUGGACACAUGACUCACACUGUGAUACAUGCUUCCAAGGUAACCCAACAGUGUCGGUGACGAAUCGUAAAACCCUCCCCAUAUGUAGCCAACAGAGUAGGAAAUUGAUAUAAUUGGUUACAGUAAUCAACCACUGAUUAGAGUAGCUUGUUGUUGGCUGGAGUACACAACAGGCCUUUCUCUCUCAACCCUGGGAGGAAACCCUCCCUAACCAGGGAGCUCAAUGGAUUCUUACAAACAUUGAAUUAGUUUCAGAAACCACCUGCAGGAUGACAUUUCUAUGAGGGCAUAGGAAUGUGUAGGAAUAGCUUUGCUUUACUGCCCCACUACAUUUCUUCAGAAGGAUUUUAAAAAAAAAUAAACUCCUCAGAAUAACAAAUAACAUUUGAAUUACAACCCUUGACAACUCAUAAGGAAAUCAUUUUAUCCCAUGAAGGAAAAGUCAAAUAGACUAGAGACAGGAUUUUAUCACACCACUCAUGCACUAUUGGUGAGUAGCUCACCCGACAGUGGCAGCGCCCUGUCUCUCUCCAUCUCGCCUGUCCGAAUCAGAAUAAGAGCUAUUGAUGAAUCACUUUGUAAUUAUCAACGUGUACAUAUUAUAUUUAUAUUUAUAGCACCUAAACAGGCCAAAUCAUCAUCAUCAUCAUCUCCAUAUGCUGAAAGAGGAUGAGGAAAAUCAUAGGGACAUUGUAAUUGAAAGUGUUCCAGUGAUUUAAUGUAUUUAAAUUCUUGACGAAGGUUCUGAUAUCUUGACGAUUAUAUUUUUCGGCGGAAGCUAUGCCAAUCUUUGUCUGAGACUUUUAUUCCCAAACCUUUUUAGACAGUCAUGCAGUGCUUUCAACCUUAUCUUUAUCAAAUGAUCCGUAAGGGGACCACUCUGAACGUCUCUGAGAACGUCUACCCCACUUACGUACGUCUACGUGUGGGUGCACAAGUUGUUUUUUUUUUACAUUCGCCCGGAUCAGCACUUUCACUGCUGAUUUUGGAGGGUUUAUCUCCCAUGAUUUCUAAUUGUCUUCUUACUCUUGUAUUAUUACACCAAAUCUCUAGUAACCCAUACACAUCUAGUAACCCACACACACCUAGUAACCCAUACACAUAUACACACAUACAAUUCGAUCUUUCUUUAUCCAACUACGUCUCUUAACAGACACAAUUCUAUCCGACCACUGGUCUAUCCCUUCCUCUCUAUACUCAACCUGUCCUAUUACCAACCAAACUAUUAGUCAGAUUUCUGUAAUUACCUUCCGCUUUCUCCGCUCAUGCAGGCAAACCAAUUCCUACUACCUUAUAGUCAAAACGAUAUAUAUAUAUAUAUUCAAUUGUAGGCCAACCAAUUCCUACAGAUAGAUAAUUCGACUGUUUACUUUCUUGUAGGCUAUCCAAUCCCAGCUAAUAAUGUUAAAAACUGUAUAUUUGACCAACUUCAUUAGACAUAAUCAAUCCUUCUCACCUCCUUAACCCUCUGUGUACAAAUCGAUUGUAUAUACAGUAUAUACUGACGCAACAGUAUUCACCUGCAAGUGUAGAGAAACCAAUCCCUAUUUAUAUACUGAUCCAACAGUAUUCACGUGAUUGUAGGAAAACCAAUCCCUACUAUUGGAGACACCCCUGUGCUCCCAUUGGUCAAUGGUAUUCAGCCAGAUUCAUUAUUAUAGGGAAAUAGUUCUGCCAAAUUGAACCCCUAAAUGUUGUGGAUGAGGAGGACAGGCGAUCUUUCACUGUUAAGGCUCGGCUGGAAAACAGACAGCCCCUGGGAGAUGUUUGAAUAAGGUCUCUUAUCUUUUUUUAGUUGUGGCCAGAUGGAUGUCUGGGUCCAAGUCGAGCGAAACGGGCCACUUCCGUGUCACAGCACCGAAUGUUGUGGAAAGCUCGAUCUAAAGGUUAGGCAGAGACUAAUUUAAAGUAUGAUAGUGAAUCUUUAAUACAACAGCUGCAAGGUAGAUCCCUCUAAUCUCAUUUAUGGAAGGAGCUCAAAGAGGAAAUGGUUACCUCAUAUAGUGGGAGGUGAUAAAGCAAUCAUGUUGUUUACACAAGUUAUUUAUACACGAAACAGUUCCGGAACACAUUGUUUUAGGGUGUAGACAUAACAGAAGUCUAUGAAAUGCAUAACAUCACAGUUCAACGUAGAACAGAGCAGAAACCUUGAGAAGUUACAACAGCUCACCCAAAUAGGAAUAGACCCAGAGCAUCCACUCCCCUCUCUGCAACUGAUGCCUUCCCAUACUUUUAUACUCUUUUUACAUUACCGGGCCAAUCUGAGCUGUACCUUGCUGACUUGGAUAUUUUCUUUUCACAUUGUCCUUUACAGAUUGGCUUCAGAAAUGAUGGUGGAUUACGUAACCAGGCUAGCGCAGUACAGCUUGGCACAGUAGUUUGAAAAGUGUAUUUGUCCAAUUGGCAGCUGUUCCAGAAUCUUGAACACGUAUAAAACCAACACUCAGGGCUCAAAGCGAUAGUGGAAAUACUGAAGCAGCUCACAGGGGAAUGCACUUUGGCUUGUCAGGGAGUGUUUUUGCUAAUGAGUGACUGAAUUUAAUCCCAUCUCAUAAUAACACACCGCAGAGCAUCAUGAGAGGUGCAAUCUUUAAUAAUCUUUAAUAAUUUGACUAAUAUACCCAUGAUUCGAUUCUGAAAAGGCCUUGUGUUGACAUGUCGAGACCCAAAUUCUAAGUCUGUUAUACGGUUAUGCUGAUCACGGCAGUUUAUUGAAUAUUAUGUACAUAUACACAGAUCAUAGAUUUGGCGACUUUACAUUUUGUACGUCCUUUGCAUUUAUGUCUUAGUAACCCCCUGCAAAUCUCUAAUGCAUUCAUCUUUUUCAUACCAAUUUUAUUUUCACGCUUGAAAAAAGUUUCAAAAGUACUUUCAUGGAGGCGAUGGGGAAAAAACAAGCAAAUGCAGAUUUGACUUUAAAGGGAAAGACUAAAACAACCAAAAAGAACACAAGACAUACACUUUGUCUAGACUAGAUCAAGGAGGAACAGAGAAGAAGGUUUAGUUUAAAUCAAUACCAGUAGACAUGGGACUAACUCACUCAGCCACUGAGAAAGGCUACAGGCAGAGCAAUCAAUGUCAGAGUAUGGCUCUGCUCUCACACAUAAAUCAAAUCAAAUUUAAUUGGUCACAUACACAUAUUUAGCAGAGGUUAUUGCGGGUAUAGCAAAAUGCUUGUGUUCCUAGCUCCAACAGUGCAGUAGUAUCUAACAAUUCACAGCAGUAUACACAAAUCUAAAAGUAAAAUAAUGGAAUUAAGAAAUAUAUAAAUAUUAGAUUGAGCAUUGUCGGAGUGGAAAUUACUAAAAUACUGUAGAAUAGAAUACAGUAUAUACAUAUGAGAUGAGUAAAGCAGUAUAUAAACAUUAUUAAAGUGACUAGUGUUCCAUUAUUAAAGUGGGCAGUGAUUCCAUGUAUAUGUAUAUAAUGCAGCAGCCUCUAAUGUGCAAGGUUGAGUAACCGGGUGGAAGCCGGAUAGUGAUAUCUAUUUAACAGUCUGAUGGCCUUGAGAUAGAAGCUGUUUUUCAGUCUCUCAGUCCCAGCUUUAAUGCACCUGUACUGACUUCGCCUUCUGGAUGAUAGCUGGGUGAAAAGGCUCGGGUGGUUGAUGUCCUUGAUUAUCUUUUUGGCCUUCCUGUGACAUUGGGUGCUGUAUGUGUCCUGGAAGGCAGGUAGUUUGCCCCCGGUGAUGGACAGACCGCACCACCUUCCCAGAGCCCAGCGGUUGCGAGUGAUGCAGUUGCCGUACUAGGCGGUGAUACAGCCCGACAUUAUGCUCUCAAUUAUGCAUCUGUUAAAGUUUGAAGGUUUUAGGGACCAAGCCAAAUUUCUUCAGCCUCCUGAAGUUGAAGAGGCGCUGUUGCGCCUUCUUCACCACACUGGCUGUGUGGGUGGACCAUUUCAGAUCGUCAGUGAUGUGUACGCCGAGGAAUUUGAAGCUUUCCACCUUCUCCACUGUGGACCCGUCGAUGUGGAUAGGGGUGUGCUCCCUCUGCUAUUUCCUGAGGCCCACUAUCAGCUCCUUUGUUUUGUUUGACGUCGAGUGAGAGGUUAUUUCCCUGGCACCGCUCUCCCAGGGCCCUUACCUCCUCCAAGUAGGCGGUCCCGUCAUUGGUGGUAAUCAAGCCUACUGUUGUGUCAUCUGCAAACUUGGUGAUUGAGUUGGAGGCGUGUGUGGCCACGCAGUCGUGUGUGAACAGGGAGUACAGGAGGAGGCUGAGCACACACCCUUGUGGGGCCCCUGUGUUUAGGAUCAGCGAAGUGGAGGUUUUGUUUCCUACCUUCAUCACAUAGGGGCAGCCCAUCACGAAGUCCAGGACCCAGUUGCACAGGGCGGGGUUCAGAACCAGGGCCCUGAGCUUAAUGAGGAGCUUGGAGGGUAGUAUGGUGUUGACUGCUGAGCUAUAGUCAAUGAACAGCAUUCUUACAUAGGUAUUCCCUCUUGUCCAGAUGGAAUAGGGCAGUGUACAGUGCGAUGGUGAUUGCAUCGUUUGUGGAUCUAUUGGGGCGGUAAGCAAAUUGAAGUGGGUCUAGGGUGUCAGGUGAGGUGAUAUGAUCCUUGACUAGUCUCUCAAAGCACUUCAUGAUGACAGAAUUGAGUGCUACGGGGCGAUAGUCAUUCAGUUCCAUUACCUUUGCUAUCUUGGGUACAGGAAACAAUGGUGGACAUCUUGAAGCAUGUGAGGACAGCAGACUGGGAUAGGGAGAGAUUGAAUAUGUCCGCAAACACUCCAACCAGCUUAUCUGCAUGCUCUGAGGAUGUGACUAGGGAUGCCUUGCGAGGGUUAACAUGCUUGAAUGUCUUACUCACGUCGGCCACCAUACCUUUUCACAACACAACUGAUUGGCUCAAACCCAUUAAGAAGGAAAAAAUUCCACAAAAUAUAUUUUAUCAAGGCACACCUGUUAAUUGAAAUGCAUUCCAGGUGACUACCUCAUGAAUCUGGUUGAGAGAAUGCCAAGAGUCUGCGAAGCUGUCAUCAAGGCAAAGAGUGGCUACUUUGAAGAAUCUAAAAUAUAUUUUGAUCUGUUUAACAAUGUUUGGGCUACUACAUGAAUCCAUAUGUUUUAUUGCAUAGUGUUGAUGUCUUUACUUUUAUCCUACAAUGUAGAAAUAGUCAAAAUAAAGAAAAACCCUUGAAUGAG